rnacentral:rRNA from 1 species
UACGUAGGUGGCAAGCGUUGUCCGGAUUUACUGGGCGUAAAGAGCGCGCAGGCGGUCGAAUAAGUCGAAUGUGAAAGCCCCCGGCUUAACUGGGGAGGGUCAUUCGAUACUGCUCGACUUGAAGGCAGGAGAGGGAAGUGGAAUUCCCGGUGUAGUGGUGAAAUGCGUAGAUAUCGGGAGGAACACCAGUGGCGAAGGCGACUUCCUGGCCUGUUCUUGACGCUGAGGCGCGAAAGCUGGGGAGCAAACGGG